rnacentral:lncRNA from 1 species
AGUGAUUGCAUCAGUCAGUGCUUUGCAAUUGUGGGCUACCCGCAGAAGCUGGCCUGGCUGUCUCUAGCUCUGUCGCUUUUGCCUUUUUUUCCUUUCCAGGUAGCCUGCCCGCUCUGACCGUCUCUGGCCUCCCUCAAACCCAGACAGCUGCUGCAAGCUUUCCAUCCUCUUCAGCAGAAACACACUGUGACUCAAUUCUCUCCCUCACCUACCUUAUUGCCUUUGAACCAAGUGGGGAAAACUGAGGUACAAUUGUUCCCAAUUUGCUAAAGGACACCUAACAAAUCUCUGUCAGAGAUAGCAAUGGAACCCACUUGUGUGUCUCCACCAGAAGACUCUGAAAGACUGAGGCUUGCUCAUGUCUGAGGGGCACAAGCUGUACUGGGCCAUGCCAGGGCCGGACAUUGUGCUUUGAGGGAUACAAAGCUUCUGGGCUCUUUUGACCUUAUGGGACCGUACAGCUAUCUGACAUUACACCCAAGGGUCGAGUACCAUUUCUUCUCCCAUGAUGUAUGCAGCUUUAUUCCCCACCUCAUGGGGAGUCAUGGGUGACUUGAAAUUUUAGCUUUGUUCAACCUUUACAUUUAAUGAGACUAAAUUUUGAAACUGUAGUUGAUCCCUAUGCAAUGGAAGAGAUCUUACACUUUAAAUUCUAUGCACAGAUUAGCCAUACCAUGGUAUUUUCUACACAAUAAGCAUGUUUAUACACAGCUUUGCAAUUGUUUUAGCAACAAGCCUUGAAUCCCAUGAAUUGUUGUACAUUACUGUUCUACAGACCACCUGGGUGGGGGAAAGCAAUGUAGUUACUUUGUAGUUUUGAAGUGACUGGAAAUUACUUUUGAAGGAGCUAUUCAAAGUUGGGUUGACUUUUCAAUCCUCUGCCUGGGGACAUAAGAACAUUUCUGUACUUUUUUUUUUUUUCAACUGNNNNNNNNNNNNNNNNNNNNNNNNNNNNNNNNNNNNNUUCCUGCCCUUCUCUGCCUUUGCUACAAUGGGGGAGGGUAGCUGGUGCUUUAUGGGAGUCACCAAUAACAAAGAGAGACAUGAAUGCUAAUUUUGCCAGUUCUCAGAGUUGGUCAAAGAAGGUGUUUUAA